GUGGGGAAUAUUGGACAAUGGGCGAAAGCCUGAUCCAGCCAUGCCGCGUGUGUGAAGAAGGUCUUCGGAUUGUAAAGCACUUUAAGUUGGGAGGAAGGGCAGUAAGUUAAUACCUUGCUGUUUUGACGUUACCGACAGAAUAAGCACCGGCUAACUUCGUGCCAGCAGCCGCGGUAAUACGAAGGGUGCAAGCGUUAAUCGGAAUUACUGGGCGUAAAGCGCGCGUAGGUGUUUCAGCAAGUUGGAGGUGAAAUCCCCGGGCUCAACCUGGGAACGGCCUCCAAAACUACUGAGCUAGAGUACGGUAGAGGGUAGUGGAAUUUCCUGUGUAGCGGUGAAAUGCGUAGAUAUAGGAAGGAACACCAGUGGCGAAGGCGACUACCUGGACUGAUACUGACACUGAGGUGCGAAAGCGUGGGGAGCAAACAGGAUUAGAUACCCCGGUAGUCC
rnacentral:rRNA from 1 species